ensembl:lncRNA
UACACAUGAAAAUACUUAACACACAAUGCACAACAGAGUAAUAACUUUAGUCAUUUUACUAAAUUGCUGCUAAUUUCAUAUUUCUUUCUCUCUUUUUCAGUUCCCAGCAGACAGGAUGAUUUUAGCAAAGGAUAUACAUUUGGUAAUGAUGUAUGUUCUUAUUCUUUAUCAACAGUAGACCUCUAUAUUACCUGUCUCAAACAGGCAAGUAUGACAUCAUAACUGUUGAAUAAUGUGAAGCAACAGCAAUUACAGUCCAGCAGUGUCUUUUUAUGCUUUAUCCUUUUUUUUUUUCUUUCUCUCUUUUGCAUGUAACCGGGAUGAGUUCAGGAGGGAAGGGGAGGGUGUGGUCGAGAACCUGAAACAAACAGAGCUGUGAAGUUUGGCAUUAGUCCAUCUUCUCACUGCAAUCACGCUGAACUGAUAGCAGCUCCAGCGAUAUGUUUUUCCAAAUGGCCUGACAUGUUCAUUUGGGUACAAUUACUUUCACCAGUCAGGUCUGCAGCAGACAUUUGUCACAGAGGCAUUCACAUUACCG